UAAUCUUUUUACCCUUUUCAUCUCAUGCCUUCUGUAAAUCUUUCUGUUUCCUUGUCACUUUACAAGUGAGAAAACAAGAUUAAGAAUUUGUUAUGCUGGCCUUUGAAAAUCAUAAUCAAAUCACUCAGCAGAUGCUUCAACUUUAGACAAAUGGAAUAAUAAAAGAGACUCUUAGACCCCUUUGAUUUUUUGAUGAUUAACUAGUUUUUAAACACUAUCGGUUGUCUCCUUCCCACUGAACUUGUUACUUUUUAUACUAUAAGUGAAAUCCAGUGAUUGGAUAAUACGUUUGAGAUCUUGAGAUGUUCGGCAGUGGUUCAGUUUGUAUACUCUGUAUGCUUAAUCAUUAUGUUUGAAAAAGUUAAAUUGAUCACCUUGUUGUGCAAUAAAGAGUACUUUUUGUUUCAUCUUUCAUUGGAAUUUGUUUUUGGUGAAUGAAUGGUCAGCUGACCUGCGUCUUUACACACUAAGGUAAAGCCUCUUUGUCUUCAACGAGAUUCUUUUGUAAGCUUUAGCCAUGGUAGAUUUUGAUCAAGACAUUCUGUAGAGAGACUUACUUAAGAUAAAAGAUGGAAAAAAUCAUUCAGCUCAAUGCUGUCAUCAUAAGUCAUAACAAUAUAUAUGUUGAAAUUCAUUUUAGUGAAGCCUCUCUUUGUGAUGAAUGAUGUCAUCAUAACAAUUUAUCUUUUGGGUCAAGCAAAAGAACUGGGCUAGAUAUAGUAAAGGGAUGGGAGAAUUCCAAUUUUUCAAUAUUCAAAAUUUAGGCUAAAAUUGUAGGACUUUACCCCUAAGGGAGUCCUUCCAAAAAUUCUCAAAGGCUUGAGUUGCCUCAAGCCUAAGAGGGGGUUUGGAAAUAGUUUUCAACCAGCAAUAGACGCGCCUCGGUUAGAACCUCACUAGCUGCGUCAUUGCCCCAAGCGCAAAGAUGAUAUUGAAUGUAGAUUAAACUUCUCUUUAUAUAAUUUUAAACUCAUCUAAUUCCUCUCAUAAGCAAUGUGGGACUAAGAAUAUCUGCGGUCAAAUAAAUAAACUCAAACAAAAAGUAUAGGUAGUUGGUUAUUAAAGGUAUGGUGAUAAGGUACAUAAAAAAUUACGGGUAUAUAAAAAUCAUAUCAGAGUAACCUUAUUUCAGUACCUAUAAUCUGUCAUUUACUAGUACUAAACAGUUGUAAGUGAAAGCAUAAAUGAAUAAAUCGGUUGAAUUUCUGCAAUAGACACUGUAAUAUUAAACUAAAAUAGAAUUUUUUUAUUAACGACUUCAGUACAAAUAUUAAGAAAUCAGUGUCAAAUUUAUUUAAGAAACAUUGCUACAAAUAUACACAGUAUAUAUAAAACAAGCCUGUUAUAAUAUUUAUAGAAUUAGUGCCAGCACAAGUGUCUUUAAAAUUAAGAUGAAUACAAAGAUAUAUUUGUUUCCAUAUUGAUGAUGUUUGCAUGCCUAUUAUGUGUUUCUUGCAGAUCUUCAUCUAAUUCAGAAACAAAGAAAGAGGUCUGAACGUGUUAGUUUUGCAAAGCCAGAAACAAAUAUUUAGUAACUUCAAUUGGGAGGGGGCCGCGCGAACGCAGGCCCCCACAGCAACAAAUUAUGAUGUAGGCUCCACCACUUGGGUAGACCUUAGGCUAGCACCCCUCCUAAGUGCAAUGGAGGUCACUUGACUAGGCCAUAGACCUUGAUGAUCAUCCAUUGACCCCAUCCAGGUAAGUAUGUUACAAUGAAUCACACACUUGUUCUUUAUACCUUAUGUUCUGUACUAUUCACUCUAACAAUUCCGAUGUGGUACUUAUUGUGAACAUAUAUUUUGAAAGCGGUAUGUAUUUAUAUGCUGGCAUCACAUGUGAAGAAUUUUACACUAACUCCAUUAGAAUGCAAAUAGAAAAACUUUAUAUAAUAAUAUUGCAGUUAAUGAUUUUUUUUCGCUUCUUAAUCUCAUUUUUCUUUAUGUUUUUCUUGAACAAUUCUGUUUUUCAAAAUUUAAGCUCUAACUCCUUGAAUGCCUAGAGGAUGGAUACCUUGAAGGCUUACAUGAGUUGAAGGGUGCAGUGGUGUUGAAUGUUAUUUAUGUGUUCAUUAUGCAUUUUAUUUGUCUCUUUUCCCAUCUUUUAUGUUGUAUCAGAUAGUACAUUGUUUAGUUUUAGCUCCUUGAAUAUGAGUAUUUGUUUUUGUGCACAUUACAACUAUUCAAUAGUUGCAUCUUUUCUAGAAAUUAAAGUUUUUUAUGCUAAAUAUGCAUUAUUAAUGUUUGACAAUAAGUAAUAUAACAAAGCUGGAAGAAUGAGGAAGAAAGGAAAUGAAAAGAUAUUAGGUGGAAAAAAUGGUAAACAAAAAGUUUCUAAGGAAAGGAAGAAGCCGUAAUGGGUUUGAAUUUACAAAUUGACGACGAAACAGUCGGUGAAGGUUGCAUGUUUGGUGAUGUAUCUGAAAAAAGGACAAGCAGGUUAAAGAAAUUUUGUUUGUAUCGUUUAAAUGAUGAUUUUGUUCGUUAUUGUAGAGGAUUUAUUUUUAGAAGCAAGUAAAAGAAGCAAGGUAUGUGUAGAAGAUUUAUUUUUAAAUUUAGGUUGAAAGACAAUCAGAUGCAUGGUAGCAGAAAUGCAUCAUUGUGUUAGAAAUAAUUUCGAAAAAUGAUUUGAAAUGAUUUCAUAUGAAUGAGAAAGAAGUAUAAAAAUA